GGCUGCAGCAAAGAAUAGGAUGCGUUUUACACAUAUUGCAGUCUGAUAGUGCCAUGUCCAAUACAUACAAUUAAUCAUUCGGGACCUGAUCUCGCGGAAGACGGGUGACCACUUUGCUGCCACAAGUCUCCUUCACACCGUGUAGCCCGCAAACAUGUCUCGAAGCAUUUGCCGAUCAAAUUUAUGUUUUAAUGAACCGUUACUUUCGUUGAUCGAACAUCUCGUAUUUUCCAUUUGGACCGUGGCAUGUAUGCAUGUAACAUUUUCAUUUUGAACAGUUGAUAGUACAUGCAACAGAUUAUAUGAGCCUUUUUGUUAUUUUGCGUAA